GAUGAACGCUAGCGGGAGGCCUAACACAUGCAAGCUGAGCGGUAGAGAUCUUUCGGGAUCUUGAGAGCGGCGUACGGGUGCGGAACACGUGUGCAACCUGCCUUUAUCAGGGGGAUAGCCUUUCGAAAGGAAGAUUAAUACCCCAUAAUAUUUUGAGUGGCAUCACUUGAAAUUGAAAACUGAGGUGGAUAAAGAUGGGCACGCGCAAGAUUAGAUAGUUGGUGAGGUAACGGCUCACCAAGUCGAUGAUCUUUAGGGGGCCUGAGAGGGUGAUCCCCCACACUGGUACUGAGACACGGACCAGACUCCUACGGGAGGCAGCAGUGAGGAAUAUUGGACAAUGGGUUAGCGCCUGAUCCAGCCAUCCCGCGUGAAGGACGACGGCCCUAUGGGUUGUAAACUUCUUUUGUACAGGGAUAAACCUACCCUCGUGAGGGUAGCUGAAGGUACUGUACGAAUAAGCACCGGCUAACUCCGUGCCAGCAGCCGCGGUAAGAC
rnacentral:rRNA from 1 species